ensembl:lncRNA
ACUUCUUCUGAACGGCCGACACGAUUCGCACGCCCUGACUCCUCCUCUCCGCCGCCGAGGCUUUUUCUAGGCCGAGGGGCGAGGGUGCAGAGUCGCUGCCCUGGCAACGGCCACUUAACGGCCACAGCCGCUCUCGAGAGAGCUGCCGGGCUGCUCUGUGACCUCGGGGUUCCCUGGAACCAGUCGAAACACCCCUGUACCUCGCGAUCGGUCGCUGCGGUUCUGGGACAGCUCCGGAGCAGCGAACCUCAGCGAUCAAGGCAGGUGUGAAAGUUUGACUCCAGAGAGACUGAUGGCAACAUACCAGCUGGAUUCUGCAUGACCAGACUUAAGAGUGCCUCCCAGCCCCGCCGCUUGUCUCUGGAAAAAAAUCUCACAUAAGCAGGAGGGAAACAACUUUGGUAUGGCAACUGCCAGAGCAAGACAGAGUGUCGCAUUUUCUCUCUGACAAAAUUUACUGUCAAAGCUUCUAUUCAGUAAACCUUCGACACCAACACUAAAGGCAAAAGUGGGAAAAGGAAUGCCUAAUAAAUGAAACUCAGGGACAUCACCAGACAACUUCCCAAGUCUCUGAAAGAUAUUCAGAAGGACCUAUCAAGGACUAACCCAAGUUUUUUCUGAUUCCUAAGAAAAUUUCUUUUGUAGGUAGAAAAUUGCUCUGCAUAGAUUACAUUCAAAGUGAUAAGUGUAAAUAUGCUGCAUCCAUGAUGCAAAUUUGCAGAAAAAAAAAUAACAUUAUUGUCUCCAAUUCUAGACCCAAACACUUGAAAGAUAGCAGCAGCAAAUUUUAAAGAGGUUAUAUUUUUCUGCCCUUCAGGUUUGGCUUGUUUUCCUGGGCAUGGCCACAGCUAAUAUUAGUGCUGGAUGAUGUCAUUUUUAGCAUAUAAUUUUUGCAGGGAAAGGAAUUCAGCUCCUGAAAAUAUCAACAAAAUGUGUUUGUUUUGUGUCUAUAGCAGUGCACAUGCACUAUGACAUUUAGGUCAUUCAACUUCUGUAACUUCAACACAUGCCAAUCUAUGUCCAGGCGUAGCCUGUAGUAAGAAUCACUGAAAUUUAAGAAGUGGAUAAACAAACUCAUUCGUUUAUUACCAAUAAGACAUCAAAUGCUAUGUCUUUUACAACCGAAAGGAGAGUAACAUUUUCUGUAGAGAUAAUUUUCACUUGGCAAGAAGGCAAAACAUUUACUGAAAUGCUAUUAUAUACCAGCCAUGAACAUAUACUGCAAAAAGAGAGUGAGCUUUGAUAGCAAACAACUUACUUUAGGUAUUAAAUUGAAGUUAAAAUGAUAGAGAGUUUGAUCAGUU